ACUGGGUGUGGUGGUGCACACCUGUAAUCCCAGCGGCUUGGUAGGCUGAGGCAGGAGGAUCAUGAGUUCAAAGCAAGCCUCAUUAAAGACACCAUCUCUGUGAGCUGCUUAGGACCUUCAGCAGGCCUUAGCAACUGAGCCAGGCUCUAAGCAACUCAUAGAGACCCUGUCUCUAAUGAGGCUGGCUUUGAACUUGCAAUCCUCCUCCCUUAGCCUC
rnacentral:sRNA from 1 species